rnacentral:lncRNA from 1 species
AAGUAGGUGCAACACUGCUCCUGGUAGCUGGCUGGAAUUCCAAGACUGUGGGCUUUAUCUUGUGAGAUGUUGUGGAAAUGAGGCCCGCAGAUCAUCACUGCUCAGCCCACUGAAUUCAGCCUCUUUCGUAGUGCACAAUGCUGCAGUUCAUUUCACAGCUGAGAAAACCAGGAGCCAGACAGAAUAAGGGACAGCCAAAUUUAUUGAGACUCUGGACAAAUAUGAUGCCAAAUGCAGCUGCUCUUGGAACUCACGGCUUCCCAAACCUCAGGAGACACAGCCAGGCAGUGGAAGGAAGCAGGUUUCUUCCUAAUUCAGUUUCCUGAGUGUGAUAUCCAGGGAGCAUAAACACUAUUUGAAGUGUAUCCCUCCAGAAAUCUAAACUCAUCUUUAACCUGAUUGUAAAAUACUUCCGAGUUCCAGAUCCCUAUCCUUGUUGACCUGAGUCGUUGAAAACAGACUGGCCUAUUUACU